CACGAAAGUUCUUCUGUUUUAAAAAAACACUCAAGGAAAUUGAAUUUGUAGUGAAGAUGCUACAUUAAAAUUGUUAGACGAGAAGUCCCCAUGGAGCUUUACUGAAAGCCUAAAAAAAAUUUUUUAUUUAUUUAUAGGUUAGACAGUUUUGUUGGGGUGAUAGUUUUUUAAAAAGUAACGAAAACGAACUAUGACGCAUGUUUCACUCUGAAAACUUGAAGAGACAUUUGGGGUGUGUUUUAUGAUCUAUUGUGUUGAAUGAAAAAGAUAAUGAAAGCA
rnacentral:rRNA from 1 species